UGGGGAAUUUUGGACAAUGGGGGAAACCCUGAUCCAGCCAUCCCGCGUGUUCGAUGAAGGCCUUCGGGUUGUAAAGCACUUUUGGCAGGAAAGAAACGUCAUGGGUUAAUACCCCGUGAAACUGACGGUACCUGCAGAAUAAGCACCGGCUAACUACGUGCCAGCAGCCGCGGUAAUACGUAGGGUGCAAGCGUUAAUCGGAAUUACUGGGCGUAAAGCGUGCGCAGGCGGUUCGGAAAGAAAGAUGUGAAAUCCCAGAGCUCAACUUUGGAACUGCAUUUUUAACUACCGGGAUAGAGUGUGUCAGAGGGAGGUGGAAUUCCGCGUGUAGCAGUGAAAUGCGUAGAUAUGCGGAGGAACACCGAUGGCGAAGGCAGCCUCCUGGGAUAACACUGACGCUCAUGCACGAAAGCGUGGGGAGCAAACAGG
rnacentral:rRNA from 1 species